rnacentral:rRNA from 1 species
AACGAACGCUGGCGGCAUGCCUAAUACAUGCAAGUCGAACGAGUGGCGGACGGGUGAGUGAUGUCUGGGAAACUGCCUGAUGGAGGGGGCUAACUACUGGAAACGGUAGCUAAUACCUCAUAACAUCGGAUCUGCCCAGAUGGGAUUAGCUAGUAGGUGGGGUAUAGGCUCACCUAGGCGACGAUCCCUAGCUGGUCUGAGAGGACGACCAGCCACACUGGAACUGAGACACGGUCCAGACUCCUACGGGAGGCAGCAGUGGGGAAUAUUGCACAAUGGGCGAAAGCCUGAUGCAGCAAUGCCGCGUGUGUGAAGAAGGUCUUCGGAUUGUAAAGUACUUUCAGCGGGGAGGCGUUACCAGCAGAAGAAGCACCGGCUAACUCCGUGCCAGCCGCCGCGGUAAUUC